AGGUUAAGUUAACAAGGGCGCAUGGUGAAUGCCUUGGCACUAGGAGCCGAUGAAGGACGGGACUAACACCGAUAUGCUUCGGGGAGCUGUACGUAAGCUAUGAUCCGGAGAUUUCCGAAUGGGGCAACCCAGCAGUUUUAAUCAACUGUUACCACUAGAUGAAUUCAUAGUCUAGUUGGAGGUAAACGCUGUGAACUGAAACAUCUCAUUAGCAGCAGGAAUAUAAAGAAAUUUCGAUUCCCUAAGUAGCGGCGAGCGAACGGGGAACAGUCCAAACCAAAGUGCUUGCACUUUGGGGUUGUAGGACUGAACAUUUGAGUUACCAAAGAACUUGAUAGUCGAAGGAUUUGGGAAAAUCCGCCAUAGAUGGUGAUAGCCCAGUAGAUUAAAUCAAAUUCUCUCAGUUCAGGAUCCUGAGUACGGCGGAACACGUGAAAUUCCGUCGGAAUCCGGGAGGACCAUCUCCCAAGGCUAAAUACUACCUAGUGACCGAUAGUGAACCAGUACCGUGAGGGAAAGGUGAAAAGCACCCCGGGAGGGGAGUGAAAUAGUUCCUGAAACCAUGUGCCUACAAUAAGUCAGAGCGCGUUAAUGCGUGAUGGCGUGCCUUUUGUAGAAUGAACCGGCGAGUUAUGAUCCCGUGCAAGGUUAAGACUAAAAAGUCGGAGCCGUAGCGAAAGCGAGUCUGAAAUGGGCGUUUUGAGUACGAGGUUAUAGACCCGAAACCAGGUGACCUAUCCAUGUCCAGGUUGAAGGUGCGGUAAAACGCACUGGAGGACCGAACCCGUGUAAGUUGAAAAUUGCUGGGAUGAGGUGUGGAUAGCGGUGAAAUUCCAAACGAACUUGGAGAUAGCUGGUUCUCUCCGAAAUAGCUUUAGGGCUAGCCUCGGAAUUAGGAUCAUGGAGGUAGAGCACUAUUUGGACUAGGGGCCCGUCUUGGGUUACUGAAUUCAGAUAAACUCCGAAUGCCAUUGAUUCAUAUCCGGGAGUCAGACGAUGAGUGAUAAGAUCCACCGUCGAAAGGGGAACAGCCCAGACCAUCAGUUAAGGUCCCUAAAUGUAUGCUAAGUGGAAAAGGAUGUGGAGUUGCAUAGACAACUAGGAUGUUGGCUCAGAAGCAGCCACCAUUUAAAGAGUGCGUAAUAGCUCACUAGUCGAGUGAUCCUGCGCCGAAAAUGUACCGGGGCUAAGCAUACUACCGAAACCAUGGAUGCGACCAUUAGGUCGCGUGAUAGGAGAGCGUUCUAAGGGCGGUGAAGCAAGAUCGUGAGGACUUGUGGAGCGCUUAGAAGUGAGAAUGCCGGUAUGAGUAGCGAAAGAUAGGUGAGAAUCCUAUCCACCGAAUGACUAAGGUUUCCUGGGGAAGGCUCGUCCUCCCAGGGUUAGUCGGGACCUAAGUCGAGGCCGAGAGGCGUAGACGAUGGAUAACAGGUUGAGAUUCCUGUACUAGUUAAGUGCGUUUGAGCAAUGGAGGGACGCAGGAGGCUAAGAUGUGCAUUCUGUUGGAUUAGAAUGUCCAAGCAGUAAGUCUUGUGAAGAGUCAAAUGCUUUUCACUUUAAGGACAAGCUGUGAUGGGGAGCGAAAUUUAGUAGCGAAGCGUCUGAUGUCACACUGCCGAGAAAAGCUUCUAGUGAGUACUUAACUACCCGUACCGCAAACCGACACAGGUAGUCGAGGAGAGAAUCCUAAGGUGAGCGAGUGAACUCUCGUUAAGGAACUCGGCAAAAUGACCCCGUAACUUCGGGAGAAGGGGUGCUGAUCGCAAGAUCAGCCGCAGUGAAUAGGCCCAGGCGACUGUUUAUCAAAAACACAGGUCUCUGCAAAAUCGUAAGAUGACGUAUAGGGGCUGACGCCUGCCCGGUGCUGGAAGGUUAAAAGGAUGGGUUAGCUUCGGCGAAGCUCAGAAUUGAAGCCCCAGUAAACGGCGGCCGUAACUAUAACGGUCCUAAGGUAGCGAAAUUCCUUGUCGGGUAAGUUCCGACCCGCACGAAAGGCGUAACGAUCUGGGCACUGUCUCAACGAGAGACUCGGUGAAAUUAUAUUGUCCGUGAAGAUGCGGACUACCCGCGACAGGACGGAAAGACCCCAUGGAGCUUUACUGUAGCUUGAUAUUGAGUGUUUGUACAGCUUGUACAGGAUAGGUAGGAGCCAUAGAAACCGGAACGCUAGUUUCGGUGGAGGCGUUGGUGGGAUACUACCCUCGCUGUAUGACCACUCUAACCCGCACCACUAAUCGUGGUGGGAGACAGUGUCAGGUGGGCAGUUUGACUGGGGCGGUCGCCUCCUAAAAAGUAACGGAGGCGCCCAAAGGUUCCCUCAGAAUGGUUGGAAAUCAUUCGCAGAGUGUAAAGGCACAAGGGAGCUUGACUGCGAGACAGACAGGUCGAGCAGGGACGAAAGUCGGGCUUAGUGAUCCGGUGGUACCGUAUGGAAGGGCCAUCGCUCAACGGAUAAAAGCUACCCUGGGGAUAACAGGCUUAUCUCCCCCAAGAGUCCACAUCGACGGGGAGGUUUGGCACCUCGAUGUCGGCUCAUCGCAUCCUGGGGCUGUAGUCGGUCCCAAGGGUUGGGCUGUUCGCCCAUUAAAGCGGUACGCGAGCUGGGUUCAGAACGUCGUGAGACAGUUCGGUCCCUAUCCGUCGCGGGCGUAGGAAAUUUGAGAGGACCUGUCCUUAGUACGAGAGGACCGGGAUGGACAUACCUCUGGUGUACCAGUUGUGCCGCCAGGCGCAUCGCUGGGUAGCUACGUAUGGAUGUGAUAAACGCUGAAAGCAUCUAAGUGUGAAACACACCUCGAGAUGAGAUUUCCCAUUCCUUUAUGGAAGUAAGACCCCUGAAAGAUGAUCAGGUAGAUAGGUUAGAAGUGGCAGUGCGGUGACGCAUGAAGCGGACUAAUACUAAUCGGUCGAGGACUUAACCAAG
rnacentral:rRNA from 2 species